AGGCGAUGCCAACGCGGGACGGGCGGCGGCUGCUGGAGGCGCUGAGCGUGGAGCCGCCCGCGGCCAGAACUGGGAAAAUGGCAGGCUUUUCUCUUGGAGAGGAAUGUCCCUUCCUUCUUUGUCCUGGUCUGCAGAAAUGGAUGCUUGUUCAAGAUUUGGCUGUUUGGUUCCAGUCCUGGAGUCUAAGCUCAUUACAAGAUGUGCACCAGCUCAAGGGGAAAAAAAAAAAGGCAUUAACUUAGUCUUUGGAGAGAAGAGCAGAUUUACUGCUGGAUUCAGCUCUUUCUUAUCCUCAGGAGUCUUCUCCAGUAAUUAGCCCGGAUGUCUAAACAUGAUCUAGCUUAGAAAAUGUUCUGGGUUCACUGCUGUCCCAUCUACCCUUUAAGUGAAAGGCUGCUUGUAGCCCUGAGAAGCAGCUCAGUCUGUCUUCUGAGCUCUGGCUCAGGUGCUGUCACUGCCAUUUCUGCUCUGCUGAUGUUUCUGACCUGCUCCAGCAGCACGCUGCAGAGGCUGCUUGGGCUCUUAAUGUUCCUUGGUGCCUAAGCCUUAGGUAUGCAAUUGUUCAUGACAUCUCACAGCUAUCCCGAUUUUUAAAGCUGCCUCUAGCUGUAGCUUGCCCUUUGGCAGGGGGACAAAACUUGACACAGUGACAGGGACCAAAGAGAUUACCUGGGAUAGCUUGAGACAAUGUGUUUACUCACUCAGAACUACAGGGACAGGUAUGCUGGUGUGGAUGCUGUUAAAGGGUCAGGGAAAGAUCCUAACAGGAUUUUCCAAGGCUGAGAGCUUUCUCAGUCCCUGCUCGGAUUUUUUCCCAGUCUUGAAGCUUUCUCAAAGGUAAACAUAAAAAGAGAAAGAAUUAUAACAAAAGAUAAACACCUGCUGCAUGCAUGAGAGCUGUGACAAGGGGUGUUGCUUUCUCUGGACCAAUGAGUUACUGUUCUUUCCCUGUCUCCGAUCCUUUCUAUAAAUGUAAGAGUGGUGUGUAAUAAAGUGCUUCUUCUGC